UCGGGCGGACAGGGGAGCUCGCGUGCGCGAUGGCGGCGGCGGGCUGAGAGGAGGCCCGCGAAACGGCCUCGACCCUCGACCUGAUAUGGGUAAUGCCAACGAAGGGAGCAUUAUGACGCAGCUU
rnacentral:ncRNA from 1 species